AGUGAACGCUGGCGGUAGGCCUAACACAUGCAAGUCGAACGGCAGCACAGUAAGAGCUUGCUCUUACGGGUGGCGAGUGGCGGACGGGUGAGGAAUACAUCGGAAUCUACUUUUUCGUGGGGAUAACGUAGGGAAACUUACGCUAAUACCGCAUACGACCUACGGGUGAAAGCAGGGGAUCUUCGGACCUUGCGCGAUUGAAUGAGCCGAUGUCGAAUUAGCUAGUUGGCGGGGUAAAGGCCCACCAAGGCGACGAUCCGUAGCUGGUCUGAGAGGAUGAUCAGCCACACUGGAACUGAGACACGGUCCAGACUCCUACGGGAGGCAGCAGUGGGGAAUAUUGGACAAUGGGCGCAAGCCUGAUCCAGCCAUACCGCGUGGGUGAAGAAGGCCUUCGGGUUGUAAAGCCCUUUUGUUGGGAAAGAAAAGCAGCAGGUUAAUACCCCGCUGUUCUGACGGUACCCAAAGAAUAAGCACCGGCUAACUUCGUG
rnacentral:rRNA from 1 species